rnacentral:rRNA from 1 species
GACGAACGCUGGCGGCGUGCUUAACACAUGCAAGUCGAACGGAAAGGCCCUGCUUUUGUGGGGUUCUCGAGUGGCGAACGGGUGAGUAACACGUGAGUAACCUGCCCUUGACUUUGGGAUAACUUCAGGAACCUGGGGCUAAUACCGGAUAGGAGCUCCUGCUGCAUGGUGGGGGUUGGAAAGUUUCGGCGGUUGGGGAUGGACUCGCGGCUUAUCAGCUUGUUGGGGGGGUAGUGGCUUACCAAGGCUUUGACGGGUAGCCGGCCUGAGAGGGUGACCGGCCACAUGGGGACUGAGAGACGGCCCAGACUCCUACGGGAGGCAGCAGUGGGGAAUAUUGCACAAUGGGCGGAAGCCUGAUGCAGCAACGCCGCGUGCGGGAUGACGGCCUUCGGGUUGUAAACCGCUUUCGCCUGUGACGAAGCGUGAGUGACGGUAAUGGGUAAAGAAGCACCGGCUAACUACGUG